CCUACGGGGGGCUGCAGUGGGGAAUAUUGCACAAUGGGCGCAAGCCUGAUGCAGCCAUGCCGCGUGUGUGAAGAAGGCCUUCGGGUUGUAAAGCACUUUCAGCGGGGAGGAAGGCGGUGAGGUUAAUAACCUCAUCGAUUGACGUUACCCGCAGAAGAAGCACCGGCUAACUCCGUGCCAGCAGCCGCGGUAAUACGGAGGGUGCAAGCGUUAAUCGGAAUUACUGGGCGUAAAGCGCACGCGGGCGGUCUGUCAAGUCGGAUGUGAAAUCCCCGGGCUCAACCUGGGAACUGCAUUCGAAACUGGCAGGCUAGAGUCUUGUAGAGGGGGGUAGAAUUCCAGGUGUAGCGGUGAAAUGCGUAGAGAUCUGGAGGAAUACCGGUGGCGAAGGCGGCCCCCUGGACAAAGACUGACGCUCAGGUGCGAAAGCGUGGGGAGCAAACAGGAUUAGAUACCCCGGUAGUC
rnacentral:rRNA from 1 species